ensembl:lncRNA
CUGAAAGCAGCAAAAAAAAAUCCCCAGCAUCCAUGAACAGCCACAGAGGAAACUGCCAAACUCUGCAGAGUCUCUCUUAAGAAGAAACUGCCCUUGCUGCAGGAGCACAGAUCAACACUUUAGGUUGAAACUGGAUGGUUUCAUUUGCCCUGAACAGCUCUCUGCUGAAACACCAGUGCCACUGGGGUCAGAGAGGAGCAUCCGGAUGGAAGUACUGCAGCAGAUCCGGGGCGUCUGCAGCAAUCAGAUCACGCUCGUGUGGGCCUAAGGACUCAACUGACUUGGCUUUAGAUAUCCCAGGAGACUCCUGCUUUCUGUCUUUUGCUAUCUGAAUAUUUUUCCAUCUGUUUCUAAGGGAUCACAGUGAGCAGUUGCCCUCAUGCCCCUUGAAACGGACCCAGACACAUGGGUUAGGCUGAGCAAGACCUGUGAAAAGGGAUGCCUCAGAACAGAAGAAUGGGAUGCAUAUGCUGUAUUGUCUGCGUGGAAAAUAAACAUAACCUCCUUCAGGAAUUAAUAAGAUUAAGUUACACUUCAAUUGAAAUCAGUGUACAUAAACUAAUGAAAAUUUCCUGUGGAUGUUGGUGAAGAAAGCCACUCAUUGUGCUGGUGAACUGAUGCAAACAGAUAUUUUAUGAUGGG